UACCAAGCUGAUAAGGGCGUACGGUGGAUGCCUUGGCGCUAGGAGCCGACGAAGGACGUGGCAGGCUGCGAAAAGCCUCGGGAAGGCGCCAAACAACCAUUGAUCCGAGGAUGUCCGAAUGGGGAAACCCACCAGCGGUAAUGCGCUGGUACCCAGGUCUGAACACAUAGGACCUGAGGAGGGAACCGGGUGAACUGAAACAUCUAAGUAACCCGAGGAAGAGAAAACAAUAACGUGAGUCCCUGAGUAGCGGCGAGCGAAACGGGAUCAGCCCAAACCUCCGUGGUGUUAAAGCCUGAUGGCGUUGCCACGGGGGGGUCGUGGGACCCGCCCGACCGGGCAUCAGACCGGUCAAGGAGUUACAAAAUCAUCGGUUAGUCGAAGAGUCUGGAAAGUCAGGCCAUAGAAGGUAAUAGCCCUGUAGAUGAAAACCGACUGAUCUCCUGGAGGUGUUCCCAAGUAACACGGUCCCCGUGCAGAGGUCGUGUGAAUUUGCGAGGCCCACCUCGUAAGGCUAACUACUACCUAGCGACCGAUAGUGAACCAGUACCGUGAGGGAAAGGUGAAAAGUACCCCGGGAGGGGAGUGAAAUAGUACCUGAAACCGUGCGCCUACAAGCAGUCAGAGCGUCUGUGCGGGUUCGUCCCGUACACGUGAUGGCGUGCCUUUUGAAGAAUGAGCCGGCGAGUUAGCGAUGCGUGGCAAGGUUAAGACGAGAGUCGUAGCCGUAGCGAAAGCGAGUCUUAAUAGGGCGUUGAGUCGCGUGUCCUAGACCCGAAGCCGGGUGAUCUAGCCAUGGGCAGGGUGAAGCGGAGGUAAGACUCCGUGGAGGCCCGAACCCACCAGGGUUGAAAACCUGGGGGAUGACCUGUGGUUAGGGGUGAAAGGCCAAUCAAACCCGGUGAUAGCUGGUUCUCCCCGAAAUGCAUUUAGGUGCAGCGUCGGGUGUUCAGUAUCGGCGGUAGAGCACUGGUUGGGCUAAGGGGCCUACAAGCUUACUAAACUCAGCCAAACUCCGAAUGCCGAUACUCUAGAACCCGGCAGUGAGACUGCGGGGGAUAAGCUCCGUAGUCGAGAGGGAAACAGCCCAGAUCGCCAGCUAAGGUCCCUAAAUCUUCGCUAAGUGGGAAAGGAUGUGGAGUUGCCCAGACAGCCAGGAGGUUGGCUUAGAAGCAGCCAUCCUUAAAAGAGUGCGUAACAGCUCACUGGUCGAGUGAUUCCGCGCCGACAAUGUAACGGGGCUAAGCGAAGUACCGAAGCUGCGGGAUUGCUUUCUCUUUGAGAAAGUGAUCGGUAGGGGAGCGUUGUGACAACUGCGAAGCUUCUUCGCAAGAAGGGGUGGAGUGGUCACAAGUGCGAAUGCCGGCAUGAGUAGCGAAAUGGAAGCGAGAAACUUCCACGCCGUAUGUCCAAGGGUUCCUGGGGAAGGUUAAUCCGCCCAGGGUAAGUCGGGACCUAAGCCGAGGCCGAGAGGCGUAGGCGAUGGACAACUGGUUGAUAUUCCAGUACCACCACAUGCGCGCCCACCCCGAAUCCAGUUGCUAAGGAAAGCCUUCGGGCCUACCGACCCACUGGUUCUAGGGGAGCA
rnacentral:rRNA from 1 species